GACGAACGCUGGCGGCGUGCUUAACACAUGCAAGUCGAACGGAAAGGCCCUGCUUUUGUGGGGUGCUCGAGUGGCGAACGGGUGAGUAACACGUGAGUAACCUGCCCUUGACUUUGGGAUAACUUCAGGAAACUGGGGCUAAUACCGGAUAGGAGCUCCUGCUGCAUGGUGGGGGUUGGAAAGUUUCGGCGGUUGGGGAUGGACUCGCGGCUUAUCAGCUUGUUGGUAGGGUAGUGGCUUACCAAGGCUUUGACGGGUAGCCGGCCUGAGAGGGUGACCGGCCACAUUGGGACUGAGAUACGGCCCAGACUCCUACGGGAGGCAGCAGUGGGGAAUAUUGCACAAUGGGCGGAAGCCUGAUGCAGCAACGCCGCGUGCGGGAUGACGGCCUUCGGGUUGUAAACCGCUUUCGCCUGUGACGAAGCGCGAGUGACGGUAAUGGGUAAAGAAGCACCGGCUAACUACGUG
rnacentral:rRNA from 1 species